AGAUCUUUCAGCAAGCUGAUAGAAUCGGCACUCCUUCUUUGUUUAAAGUGAAACUGUGCUUUAAAACAACUUUGAUAAAGAAAAACAUGUAAUCCUAUACCCAUCCACCUGGGAGUAAACUCCAUUGAAUUUCAUAGGACUUACUUCUGAGCAUUAGGACCUAUAGAAAUCAGUGUGAAGAGUUAAGUCACGACAUCUUUUCCCAUCUAUUCCAAUGGGGCUUUAAGUGCAACUAACUUAAAUCUGGAUUCAAACUUUAUAUCCCUGACAAAAAUCUCAUGCAAGGGUUUUGAAGACUGUUACAAAGCAAUCCCCAGGAAGUUGAACAUUAUGCAGUUAUUCUCCUGGUUUCACUUCAGAACAAACUCUUGAACUGAAAUGGGGAAUAAAACAACAAGUCUCAA